rnacentral:lncRNA from 1 species
GACAAGUUGUUCUCAUUUGUCAUUUUCACCAGGAAAGUCUUCACACGCUUGCGAAAGAUGCUCCUCUAACUCACAAAUGGGUUUGUGACUGAUUGGUAGCCCUCAGCCUGCUUUAGCUCAUCUGCGGAGAUGGCUUUUCCAGGUGUUAUUCCUGCACAUGCCAUAACUUCUUGGAGCCAUAGAAAAGAUUUGGAGGAAAAGGACUGUGCAGGGGACAGAAGGAGGGGAGAAACCAGAGAAUUUACUGCCUGCUUUGGAGUCAGCUCCAAAAGUGAGCCAUAGCAGCCUGUGCCUUAAUGUAUGAAGCAAUGAACCUUAGGAGUUGGUAGAUUUCUGAAGAUCAAAGAAGUUGGCAUGUCCUUAACCAUAUCCUGCCCUGAAGAUCAGUUUCAGUUCCAUGUGGAGAUGAGACACCAUGUCCACAGAAGCUAAAUGCCACCGUAUCCUUGUUAGUUAACCUUGUUCU